UACGGAGGAGGCAAGCGUUAUCCGGAAUUAUUGGGCGUAAAGCGUCCGCAGGUGGCGAUUCAAGUCUGCGGUUAAAGACUGGGGCUUAACCCUGGAAAGGCCGUGGAAACUGAAACGCUAGAGUGCAGUAGGGGUAGAGGGAAUUCCCGGUGUAGCGGUGAAAUGCGUAGAGCUCGGGAAGAACAUCGGUGGCGAAAGCGCUCUGCUGGACUGCAACUGACACUCAGGAACGAAAGCUAGGGGAGCGAAUGGG
rnacentral:rRNA from 1 species